ensembl:lncRNA novel transcript
AGAGGCUGGCGGGAUCCUCCAUAUGCUGAACGCUGGUUCCCUAGGUCCCCUUAUUUCUUUCUCUAUACUUUGCCUCUGUGUCUUUUUCUUUCCUAAGUCUCUCAUUCCACCUUUACGAGAAACACCCACAGGUGUGGAGGGGCAACCCACCCCUACAUCUGGUGCCCAACGUGGAGGCUUUUCUCUAGGGUGAAGGUACGCUCGAGCAUGGUCAUUGAGGACAAGUCGACGAGAGAUCCCGAGUACGUCUACAGUCAGCCUUUCGGUAAGCUUGUGCGCUUGGAAGAAGCUAGGGUGAUAAUGGGGCAAACUAAAAGUAAAAUUAAGAGUAAAUAUGCCUCUUAUCUCAGCUUUAUUAAAAUUCUUUUAAAAAGAGGGGGAGUUAAAGUAUCUACAAAAAAUCUAAUCAAGCUAUUUCAAAUAAUAGAACAAUUUUGCCCAUGGUUUCCAGAACAAGGAACUUUAGAUCUAAAAGAUUGGAAAAGAAUUGGUAAGGAACUAAAACAAGCAGGUAGGAAGGGUAAUAUCAUUCCACUUACAGUAUGGAAUGAUUGGGCCAUUAUUAAAGCAGCUUUAGAACCAUUUCAAACAGAAGAAGAUAGUGUUUCAGUUUCUGAUGCCCCUGGAAGCUGUUUAAUAGAUUGUAAUGAAAAGACAAGGAAAAAAUCCCAGAAAGAAAUGGAAGGUUUACAUUGCGAAUAUGUAGCAGAGCCGGUGAUGGCUCAGUCAACACAAAAUGUUGACUAUAAUCAAUUACAGGAGGUGAUAUAUCCUGAAACGUUAAAAUUAGAAGGAAAAGGUCCCGAAUUAGUGGGGCCAUUAGAGUCUAAACCAUGAGGCACAAGUCCUCUUCCAGCAGGUCAGGUGCCUGUAACAUUACAACCUCAAACGCAGGUUAAAGAAAAUAAGACCCAACCGCCAGUAGCCUAUCAAUACUGGCUGCCGGCUGAACUUCAGUAUCGGCCACCCCCAGAAAGUCAGUAUGGAUAUCCAGGAAUACCCCCAGCACCACAGGGCAGGGUGCCAUACCCUCAGCCACCCACUAGGAGACUUAAUCCUAUGGCACCACCUAGUAGACAGGGUAGUGAAUUACAUGAAAUUAUUGAUAAAUCAAGAAAGGAAGGAGAUACUGAGGCAUGGCAAUUCCCAGUAACGUUAGAACCGAUGCCACCUGGAGAAGGAGCCCAAGAGGGAGAGCCUCUCACAGUUGAGGCCAGAUACAAGUCUUUUUCGAUAAAAAUGCUAAAAGAUAUGAAAGAGGGAGUAAAACAGUAUGGACCCAACUCCCCUUAUAUGAGGACAUUAUUAGAUUCCAUUGCUCAUGGACAUAGACUCAUUCCUUAUGAUUGGGAGAUUCUGGCAAAAUCGUCUCUCUCACCCUCUCUAUUUUUACAAUUUAAGACUUGGUGGAUUGAUGGGGUACAAGAACAGGUCCGAAGAAAUAGGGCUGCCAAUCCUCCAGUUAACAUAGAUGCAGAUCAACUAUUAGGAACAGGUCAAAAUUGGAGUACUAUUAGUCAACAAGCGUUAAUGCAAAAUGAGGCCAUUGAGCAAGUUAGAGCUAUCUGCCUUAGAGCCUGGGAAAAAAUCCAAGACCCAGGAAGCGCCUGCCCCUCAUUUAAUACAGUAAGACAAGGUUCGAAAGAGCCCUACCUUGAUUUUGUGGCAAGGCUCCAAGAUGUUGCUCAAAAGUCAAUUGCCAAUGAAAAAGCCCAUAAGGUCAUAGUGGAGUUGAUGGCAUAUGAAAACGCCAAUCUUGAGUGUCAAUCAGCCAUUAAGCCAUUAAAAGCAAAGGUUCCUGCAGGAUCAGAUGUAAUCUCAGAAUAUGUAAAAGCCUGUGAUGGAAUCGGAGGAGCUAUGCAUAAAGCUAUGCUUAUGGCUCAAGCAAUAACAGGAGUUGUUUUAGGAGGACAAGUUAGAACAUUUGGAGGAAAAUGAUAUAAUUGUGGUCAAAUUGGUCACUUAAAAAAGAACUGCCCAGUCUUAAAUAAACAGAAUAUAACUAUUCAAGCUACUACCACAACAGGUAGAGAGCCAGCUGACUUAUGUCCAAGAUGUAAAAAAGGAAAACAUUGGGCUAGUCAAUGUUGUUCUAAAUUUGAUAAAAAUGGGCAACCAUUGUCGGGAAAUGAGCAAAGGGGCCAGCCUCAGGCCCCACAACAAACUGGGGCAUUCCCAAUUCAGCCAUUUGUUCCUCAGGGUUUUCAGGGACAACAACCCCCACUGUCCCAAGUGUUUCAGGGAAUAAGCCAGUUACCACAAUACAACAAUUGUCCCCCGCCACAAGCGGCAGUGCAGCAGUAGAUUUAUGUACUAUACAAGCAGUCUCUCUGCUUCCAGGGGAGCCCCCACAAAAAAUCCCCACAGGGGUAUAUGGCCCACUGCCUGAGGGGACUGUAGGACUAAUCUUGGGAAGAUCAAGUCUAAAUCUAAAAGGAGUUCAAAUUCAUACUAGUGUGGUAGAUACAGACUAUAAAGGUGAAAUUCAAUUGGUUAUUAGCUCUUCAGUUCCUUGGAGUGCCAGUCCAGGAGACAGGAUUGCUCAAUUAUUACUCCUGCCAUACAUUAAGGGUGGAAAUAGUGAAAUAAAAAGAAUAGGAGAGUUUGGAAGCACUGAUCCGACAGGAAAGGCUGCAUAUUGGGCAAGUCAGGUCUCAGAGAACAGACCUGUGUGUAAGGCCAUUAUUCAAGGAAAACAGUUUGAAGGGUUGGUAGACACUGAAGCAGAUGUCUCUAUCAUUGCUUUAAAUCAGUGGCCAAAAAAUUGGCCUAAACAAAAGGCUGUUACAGGACUUGUCGGCAUAGGCACAGCCUCAGAAGUGUAUCAAAGUACUGAGAUUUUACAUUGCUUAGGGCCAGAUAAUCAAGAAAGUACUGUUCAGCCAAUGAUUACUUCAAUUCCUCUUAAUCUGUGGGGUCAAGAUUUAUUACAACAAUGGGGUGUGGAAAUCACCAUGCCCGCUCCAUUAUAUAGCCCCACGAGUCAAAAAAUCAUGACCAAGAUGGGAUAUAUACCAGGAAAGGGACUAGGGAAAAAUGAAGAUGGCAUUAAAGUUCCAGUUGAGGCUAAAAUAAAUCAAAAAAGAGAAGGAAUAGGGUAUCCUUUUUAGGGGCGGCCACUGUAGAGCCUCCUAAACCCAUACCAUUAACUUGGAAAACAGAAAAACCGGUGUGGGUAAAUCAGUGGCCGCUACCAAAACAAAAACUGGAGGCUUUACAUUUAUUAGCAAAUGAACAGUUAGAAAAGGGUCAUAUUGAGCCUUCAUUCUCGCCUUGGAAUUCUCCUGUGUUUGUGAUUCAGAAGAAAUCAGGCAAAUGGCGUAUGUUAACUGACUUAAGGGCCGUAAACGCCAUAAUUCAACCCAUGGGGCCUCUCCAAUCUGGGUUGCCCUCUCCGGCCAUGAUCCCAAAAGAUUGGCCUUUAAUUAUAAUUGAUCUAAAGGAUUGCUUUUUUACCAUCCCUCUGGCGGAGCAGGAUUGCGAAAAAUUUGCCUUUACUAUACUAGCCAUAAAUAAUAAAGAACCAGCCACCAGGUUUCAGUGGAAAGUGUUACCUCAGGGAAUGCUUAAUAGUCCAACUAUUUGUCAGACUUUUGUAGGUCGAGCUCUUCAACCAGUUAGAGACAAGUUUUCAGACUGUUAUAUUAUUCAUUAUAUUGAUGAUAUUUUAUGUGCUGCAGAAACGAAAGAUAAAUUAAUUGACUGUUAUACAUUUCUGCAAGCAGAGGUUGCCAACGCAGGACUGGCAAUAGCAUCUGAUAAGAUCCAAACCUCUACUCCUUUUCAUUAUUUAGGGAUGCAGAUAGAAAAUAGAAAAAUUAAGCCACAAAAAAUAGAAAUAAGAAAAUACACAUUAAAAACACUAAAUGAUUUUCAAAAAUUGCUGGGAGAUAUUAAUUGGAUUCGGCCAACUCUAGGCAUUCCUACUUAUGCCAUGUCAAAUUUGUUCUCUAUCUUAAGAGGAGACUCAGACUUAAAUAGUAAAAGAAUGUUAACCCCAGAGGCAACAAAAGAAAUUAAAUUAGUGGAAGAAAAAAUUCAGUCAGUGCAAAUAAAUAGAAUAGAUCCCUUAGCCCCACUCCAACUUUUGAUUUUUGCCACUGCACAUUCUCCAACAGGCAUCAUUAUUCAAAAUACUGAUCUUGUGGAGUGGUCAUUCCUUCCUCACAGUACAGUUAAGACUUUUACAUUGUACUUGGAUCAAAUAGCUACAUUAAUUGGUCAGACAAGAUUACGAAUAAUAAAAUUAUGUGGAAAUGACCCAGACAAAAUAGUUGUCCCUUUAACCAAGGAACAAGUUAGACAAGCCUUUAUCAAUUCUGGUGCAUGGCAGAUUGGUCUUGCUAAUUUUGUGGGAAUUAUUGAUAAUCAUUACCCAAAAACAAAGAUCUUCCAGUUCUUAAAAUUGACUACUUGGAUUCUACCUAAAAUUACCAGACAUGAACCUUUAGAAAAUGCUCUAACAAUAUUUACUGAUGGUUCCAGCAAUGGAAAAGCAGCUUACACAGGGCCGAAAGAAUGAGUAAUCAAAACUCCAUAUCAAUCAGCUCAAAGAGCAGAGUUGGUUGCAGUCAUUAAAGUGUUACAAGAUUUUGACCAACCUAUCAAUAUUAUAUCAGAUUCUGCAUAUGUAGUACAGGCUACAAGGGAUGUUGAGACAGCUCUAAUUAAAUAUAGCAUGGAUGAUCAGUUAAACCAGCUAUUCAAUUUAUUACAACAAACUGUAAGAAAAAGAAAUUUCCCAUUUUAUAUUACUCAUAUUCGAGCACACACUAAUUUACCAGGGCCUUUGACUAAAGCAAAUGAACAAGCUGACUUACUGGUAUCAUCUGCAUUCAUAAAAGCACAAGAACUUCAUGCUUUGACUCAUGUAAAUGCAGCAGGAUUAAAAAACAAAUUUGAUGUCACAUGGAAACAGGCAAAAGAUAUUGUACAACAUUGCACCCAGUGUCAAGUCUUACACCUGCCCACUCAAGAGGCAGGAGUUAAUCCCAGAGGUCUGUGUCCUAAUGCAUUAUGGCAAGUGGAUGUCACGCAUGUACCUUCAUUUGGAAGAUUAUCAUAUGUUCAUGUAACAGUUGAUACUUAUUCACAUUUCAUAUGGGCAACUUGCCAAACAGGAGAAAGUACUUCCCAUGUUAAAAAACAUUUAUUGUCUUGUUUUGCUGUAAUGGGAGUUCCAGAAAAAAUCAAAACUGACAAUGGACCAGGAUAUUGUAGUAAAGCUUUCCAAAAAUUCUUAAGUCAGUGGAAAAUUUCACAUACAACAGGAAUUCCUUAUAAUUCCCAAGGACAGGCCAUAGUUGAAAGAACUAAUAGAACACUCAACACUCAGUUAAACAAAAAGAAGGGGGAGACAGUAAGGAGUGUACCACUCCUCAGAUGCAACUUAAUCUAGCACUCUAUACUUUAAAUUUUUUAAACAUUUAUAGAAAUCAGACUACUACUUCUGCAGAACAACAUCUUACUGGUUAAAAGAACAGCCCACAUGAAGGAAAACUAAUUUGGUGGAAAGAUAAUAAAAAUAAGACAUGGGAAAUAGGGAAGGUGAUAACGUGGGGGAGAGGUUUUGCUUGUGUUUCACCAGGAGAAAAUCAGCUUCCUGUUUGGAUACCCACUAGACAUUUGAAGUUCUACAAUGAACCCAUCGGAGAUGCAAAGAAAAGCACCUCCGCGGAGACGGAGACACUGCAAUCGAGCACCGUUGACUCACAAGAUGAACAAAAUGGUGACGUCAGAAGAAGAGAUGAAGUUGCCAUCCACCAAGAAGGCAGAGCCGCUGACUUGGGCACAACUAAAGAAGCUGACGCAGUUAGCUACAAAAUGUCUAGAGAACACAAAGGUGACACAAACCCCAGAGAGUAUGCUGCUUGCAGCCUUGAUGAUUGUAUCAAUGGUGGUAAGUCUCCCUAUGCCUGCAGGAGCAGCUGCAGCUAACUAUACCUACUGGGCCUAUGUGCCUUUCCCGCCCUUAAUUUGGGCAGUCACAUGGAUGGAUAAUCCUAUAGAAGUAUAUGUUAAUGAUAGUGUAUGGGUUCCUGGCCCCACAGAUGAUCGCUGCCCUGCCAAACCUGAGGAAGAAGGGAUGAUGAUAAAUAUUUCCACUGGGUAUCGUUAUCCUCCUAUUUGCCUAGGGAGAGCACCAGGAUGUUUAAUGCCUGCAGUCCAAAAUUGGUUGGUAGAAGUACCUACUGUCAGUCCCAUCAGUAGAUUCACUUAUCACAUGGUAAGCGGGAUGUCACUCAGGCCACGGGUAAAUUAUUUACAAGACUUUUCUUAUCAAAGAUCAUUAAAAUUUAGACCUAAAGGGAAACCUUGCCCCAAGGAAAUUCCCAAAGAAUCAAAAAAUACAGAAGUUUUAGUUUGGGAAGAAUGUGUGGCCAAUAGUGCAGUGAUAUUACAAAACAAUGAAUUUGGAACUAUUAUAGAUUGGGCACCUCGAGGUCAAUUCUACCACAAUUGCUCAGGAUGAACUCAGUCGUGUCCAAGUGCACAAGUGAGUCCAGCUGUUGAUAGCGACUUAACAGAAAGUUUAGACAAACAUAAGCAUAAAAAAUUGCAGUCUUUCUACCCUUGGGAAUGGGGAGAAAAAGGAAUCUCUACCCCAAGACCAAAAAUAAUAAGUCCUGUUUCUGGUCCUGAACAUCCAGAAUUAUGGAGGCUUACUGUGGCCUCACACCACAUUAGAAUUUGGUCUGGAAAUCAGACUUUAGAAACAAGAGAUCAUAAGCCAUUUUAUACUAUCGACCUAAAUUCCAGUCUAACGGUUCCUUUACAAAGUUGCGUAAAGCCCCCUUAUAUGCUAGUUGUAGGAAAUAUAGCUAUUAAACCAGACUCCCAGACUAUAACCUGUGAAAAUUGUAGAUUGCUUACUUGCAUUGAUUCAACUUUUAAUUGGCAACACCGUAUUCUGCUGGUGAGAGCAAGAGAGGGCGUGUGGAUCCCUGUGUCCAUGGACCGACCGUGGGAGGCCUCGCCAUCCAUCCAUAUUUUGACUGAAGUAUUAAAAGGUGUUUUAAAUAGAUCCAAAAGAUUCAUUUUUACUUUAAUUGCAGUGAUUAUGGGAUUAAUUGCAGUCACAGCUAUGGCUGCUGUAGCAGGAGUUGCAUUGCACUCUUCUGUUCAGUCGGUAAACUUUGUUAAUGAUUGGCAAAAAAAUUCUACAAGAUUGUGGAAUUCACAAUCUAGUAUUGAUCAAAAAUUGGCAAAUCAAAUUAAUGAUCUUAGACAAACUGUCAUUUGGAUGGGAGACAGACUCAUGAGCUUAGAACAUCGUUUCCAGUUACAGUGUGACUGGAAUAUGUCAGACUUUUGUAUUACACCCCAAAUUUAUAAUGAGUCUGAGCAUCACUGGGACAUGGUUAGACGGCAUCUACAGGGAAGAGAAGAUAAUCUCACUUUAGACAUUUCCAAGUUAAAAGAACAAAUUUUCGAAGCAUCAAAAACCCAUUUAAAUUUGGUGCCAGGAACUGAGGCAAUUGCAGGAGUUGCUGAUGGCCUCGCAAAUCUUAACCCUGUCACUUGGGUUAAGACCAUCGGAAGUACUACAAUUAUAAAUCUCAUAUUAAUCCUUGUGUGCCUGUUUUGUCUGUUGUUAGUCUGCAGGUGUAACCAACAGCUCCAAAGAGACAGCGACCAUCGAGAACGGGCCAUGAUUACGAUGGUGGUUUUGUCGAAAAGAAAAGGGGGAAAUGUGGGGAAAAGCAAGAGCGAUCAGAUUGUUGCUGUGUCUGUGUAGAAAGAAGUAGACAUAGGAGACUCCAUUUUGUUAUGUACUAAGAAAAAUUCUUCUGCCUUGAGAUUCUGUGACCUUACCCCCAACCCCAUGCUCUCUGAAACAUGUGCUGUGUCAACUCAGAGAUGAAUGGAUUAAGGGCGGUGCAAGAUGUGCUUUGUUAAACAGAUGCUUGAAGGCAGCAUGCUCCUUAAGAGUCAUCACCACUCCCUCAUCUCAAGUACCCAGGGACACAAAAACUGCGGAAGGCUGCAGGGACCUCUGCCUAGGAAAGCCAGGUAUUGUCCAAGGUUUCUCCCCAUGUGAUAGUCUGAAAUAUGGCCUCGUGGGAAGGGAAAGACCUGACCGUCCCCCAGCCCGACACCCGUAAAGGGUCUGUGCUGAGGAGGAUUAGUAUAAGAGGAAGGCAUGCCUCUUGCAGUUGAGACAAGAGGAAGGCAUCUGUCUCCUGCCUGUCCCUGGGCAAUGGAAUGUCUCGUUAUAAAACCCGAUUGUAUGCUCCAUCUACUGAGAUAGGGAAAAACCGCCUUAGGGCUGGAGGUGGGACCUGCGGGCAGCAAUACUGCUUUGUAAAGCAUUGAGAUGUUUAUGUGUAUGCAUAUCUAAAAGCACAGCACUUAAUCCUUUACAUUGUCUAUGAUGCAAAGACCUUUGUUCACGUGUUUGUCUGCUGACCCUCUCCCCACAAUUGUCUUGUGACCCUGACACAUCCCCCUCUUUGAGAAACACCCACGAAUGAUCAAUAAAUACUAAGGGAACUCAGAGGCUGGCGGGAUCCUCCAUAUGCUGAACGCUGGUUCCCCGGAUCCCCUUAUUUCUUUCUCUAUA